AGAGUUUGAUCCUGGCUCAGAACGAACGCUGGCGGCAUGCCUAACACAUGCAAGUCGAACGAGACCUUCGGGUCUAGUGGCGCACGGGUGCGUAACACGUGGGAAUCUGCCCUUAGGUUCGGAAUAACUCAGGGAAACUUGUGCUAAUACCGAAUGUGCCCUUCGGGGGAAAGAUUUAUCGCCUUUAGAGCGGCCCGCGUCUGAUUAGCUUGUUGGUGGGGUAAUGGCCCACCAAGGCUACGAUCAGUAGCUGGUCUGAGAGGAUGACCAGCCACAUUGGGACUGAGACACGGCCCAAACUCCUACGGGAGGCAGCAGUGGGGAAUCUUGCGCAAUGGGCGAAAGCCUGACGCAGCCAUGCCGCGUGUAUGAUGAAGGUCUUAGGAUUGUAAAAUACUUUCACCGGUGAAGAUAAUGACUGUAGCCGGAGAAGAAGCCCCGGCUAACUUCGUGCCAGCAGCCGCGGUAAUACGAAGGGGGCUAGCGUUGCUCGGAAUUACUGGGCGUAAAGGGAGCGUAGGCGGACAUUUAAGUCAGGGGUGAAAUCCCGGAGCUCAACUCCGGAACUGCCCUUGAUACUGGGUGUCUUGAGUGUGAGAGAGGUAUGUGGAACUCCGAGUGUAGAGGUGAAAUUCGUAGAUAUUCGGAAGAACACCAGUGGCGAAGGCGACAUACUGGCUCAUUACUGACGCUGAGGCUCGAAAGCGUGGGGAGCAAACAGGAUUAGAUACCCUGGUAGUCG
rnacentral:rRNA from 1 species